rnacentral:rRNA from 1 species
AUGGAGGAAUCAUUGGGAGAGGUAGCUCUAGGCGCCUCGUUGACCUACAACAUUUCUGAUCUCCAAAUGCAUAAAACCCCCUGCAAGCGGCUGGUUCGAAGGCAGCCAUAUCACAGAUCGACUUCAUUUCGACGCAACCACUACAGACUCUGUCUCGGUCUCCAUUCCUUUGCCUGGCUAACGGGGAUGGGGAUGGCACUUGCUCCACGCUCGUCUCUGUCUCUGCGCUCCCUGCUGCUGCUCAUGUCGCACAGGAAGCCACAUCGGAGCUCUUUCUUCUCCUCCUCCGCCGCCGUUCCGCCUGCGGCUCCAGGAACUGCCACUCCGGCUGCUGAUCCUGCCGUUCAGCCUCCAGCCGCUCCAGUUCCUAAAGGUCCGCGCGAAUCUACCCGCGAUGGUCCGCCACGCCAACCUCCUGGAACUAUGGAUAUAGACGCUAAAGACCCCGGCAAGAAGACUCUCUAA